GCAGCCUGAUGCAGCGACGCCGCGUGAGGGAUGACGGCCUUCGGGUUGUAAACCUCUUUCAGUAGGGACGAAGCGCAAGUGACGGUACCUACAGAAGAAGCACCGGCCAACUACGUGCCAGCAGCCGCGGUAAUACGUAGGGUGCAAGCGUUGUCCGGAAUUACUGGGCGUAAAGAGCUCGUAGGUGGUUUGUCGCGUUGUUCGUGAAAACCUGAGGCUUAACCUCGGGCGUGCGGGCGAUACGGGCAGACUAGAGUACUGCAGGGGAGACUGGAAUUCCUGGUGUAGCGGUGGAAUGCGCAGAUAUCAGGAGGAACACCGGUGGCGAAGGCGGGUCUCUGGGCAGUAACUGACGCUGAGGAGCGAAAGCGUGGGGAGCGAACAGGAUUAGAUACCCUGGUAGUCCACGCCGUAAACGGUGGGUACUAGGUGUGGGUUUCCUUCCUUGGGAUCCGUGCCGUAGCUAACGCAUUAAGUACCCCGCCUGGGGAGUACGGCCGCAAGGCUAAAACUCAAAGAAAUUGACGGGGGCCCGCACAAGCGGCGGAGCAUGUGGAUUAAUUCGAUGCAACGCGAAGAACCUUACCUGGGUUUGACAUGCACUAGACGCUGGUAGAGAUAUCAGUUCCCUUGUGGC
rnacentral:rRNA from 2 species